UGCUUUCGUUAAAAUCACGAAAACAGAAAUAGAGCAAAGACAAAAGUAAACCUAUAUCCUGUAACCAAAUAAACAAGAGCACAAACUACUUUUCAUCUUAAUUUGGACAGGAAAAAAUCCACGCACCUUCACCAAGCAGUUGUUCGAACCGAGCAGCAAUGUGUUUCCCAUAUGUAUAUUUCUUCAGAGCAUUGAGAUGAACUCUUACCCCAUCCAGCAAUAGUUGCCGUUGUCUGUCAUUGCUUACUUGAAGAACCUUCUGAACAACAUAAUUCGCGAAUUGGUCCUUCAUCAUAGUCCAUAAAGA